rnacentral:lncRNA from 1 species
GGAAAGGGAGAUGUCAGCGCAUAAUAAGCUGAACUAUAAUUAGUGAACAUUUUAUUGAAAAAAAAUGUUUUGUAAAAUGAUUUGCUUACAAUGUUACCCUUAGUCUUGUGCUACGCCACUGAAACCUUGAUCAUGUUUUGUUAGAGUUUAACACAUAUUGUUGUAUCCAAAAAAUAUUACACCCAUUAAAAGAUGAUUAAAGAUUAUUCAUUUGGGUUACUGAAAUAUUUUUCUUCCAAUGCUCAUCCGUAAAAACAUCAACCUUAAAAAGCGUUGUCUUAUAUGCGCCUAUUGUUC